CUUGAACUUGCAAGGCACUAGCUUCUGGGAGAAGUGCAGCAACCUCCCUGGAGUCACUUCCUGGCAAACGGAAUGACUCAAGACCAAGAGGGCUGCCAGACCCAGAAGACUGACUGACUCCAUCACCCUCCUCAGGGCAUACUGGCGCUAUGGGAAGGCCAAGGGGUGGCCGUGGCCGUCUGUGGGUCGGGGGCUCCC